rnacentral:rRNA from 1 species
CUCUUAGACACUCUAGGCGGCACGCGCGCUACAAUGGGUGGAAGAACGUGUUACUGCCUCCGAAAGGAGGGGUGAAUCACGAAUUCUUGCCCGUGAAUGGGAUAGUUUGUUGCAAUUUUCGGACUUGAACUAGGAAUCCCUUGUAAACAUGCUCAAGAAUAGCGUGUUGAAUACGUCCCUGCCGUUUGUACACACCGCCCGUCGUUUCUUCCGACUGAUACUCAUUGUGAGUUGCAAGGACCCUUUAUUGGGAAAUUGCUGCAAAUGCUUUGUAUUGGAGGAAGAAAAAGUCGUAACA